CUGAACCAGCCAAGUAGCGUGAAGGAUGACUGCCCUAUGGGUUGUAAACUUCUUUUAUACGGGAAUAAAGUGAGGCACGUGUGCCUUUUUGUAUGUACCGUAUGAAUAAGGAUCGGCUAACUCCGUGCCAGCAGCCGCGGUAAUACGGAGGAUCCGAGCGUUAUCCGGAUUUAUUGGGUUUAAAGGGAGCGUAGGUGGAUUGUUAAGUCAGUUGUGAAAGUUUGCGG
rnacentral:rRNA from 1 species